GUAACACGUAGUCAACCUGCCCUGGAGACAUGGACAACCCCGGGAAACUGGGAUUAAUCCGUGAUAGGUCAUCUCAUCUGGAAGGAGAGAUGGCUUAAAGGGGCGCGCGGGCUUCUUCUGCGCGUUUGCUCCAGGAUGGGACUGCGUCCGAUCAGGCUGUUGGCGGGGUAAUGGCCCACCAAACCUGUAACCGGUACGGGCCUUGAGAGAGGUGGCCCGGAGAUGGACACUGAGAGAAGGGUCCAGGUCCUACGGGGCGCAGCAGGCGCGAAACCUUCGCAAUGCGCGAAAGCGUGACGAGGUUAAUCCGAGUGGCCUCCGCUGAGGAGGUCUUUUGUCAGCUGUAAAUAGGCGGGCGAAUAAGGGGAGGGCAAGCCUGGUGUCAGCCGCCGCGGUAAUACCAGCUCCUCGAGUGGUCGGGGCGAUUAUUGGGCCUAAAGCAUCCGUAGCCGGUUCCGUAGGUCCUCUGUUAAAUCCACCCGCUCAACGGGUGACCUGCAGGGGAUACCGCGGGACU
rnacentral:rRNA from 1 species